GUCGGGAUGGUCUACUCGGUUAAGGCGUCGCCCCGGACAGGCGACGGUUGCGGGUUCAAUCCCCGCUCCUGGCC
rfam:Ixodes scapularis strain Wikel colony gcontig_1108379711176, whole genome shotgun sequence.